GCCUGAGUGGCUCAGUCGGUUGAGCGUCCGACUUCAGCUCAGGUCAUGAUCUCAUAGUUCAUGGGUUCGAGCCCCUUAUCAGGCU
rnacentral:tRNA from 1 species